rnacentral:rRNA from 1 species
UGUCGUCAGCUCGUGUCGUGAGAUGUUGGGUUAAGUCCCGCAACGAGCGCAACCCUCAUCCUUAGUUACCAUCAGGUAAUGCUGGGGACUUUAAGGAAACUGCCAGUGAUAAACUGGAGGAAGGUGGGGAUGAUGUCAAGUCAUCAUGGCCCUUAUGGAGUGGGCUACACACGUGCUACAAUGGUGGCUACAAUGGGCUGCAAAGUCGCGAGGCUAAGCUAAUCCCUUAAAAGCCAUCUCAGUUCGGAUUGUACUCUGCAACUCGAGUGCAUGAAGUUGGAAUCGCUAGUAAUCGUGGAUCAGCACGCCACGGUGAAUACGUUCUCGGGUCUUGUACACACUGCCCGUCACGCCAUGGGAAUUG